GCAAGAUGGCGGAGGUGGGAGGCAGCGGCAGCGUAGAGAUCGCUGUCGGGGAGAAUCACCUGAUGGGCUGCUGGGGCUCCCAUUGGACAGGUGUGCCCCCUCUCCACAGAUCGCUGUCGGGGAGAAUCACCUGAUGGGCUGCUGGGGCUCCCAUUGGACAGGUGUGCCCCCUCUCCACAGAUCGCUGUCGGGGAGAAUCACCUGAUGGGCUGCUGGGGCUCCCAUUGGACAGGUGUGCCCCCUCUCCACAGUGUCGUCAGUUGCACGCGAGAAGUAGCGAAUAAUGAUGAUAAUAAUAAAGAAGCGAAUAACGGCCUAACAACACACGACAACCUCCAACAAGACUUCAAUUCCCAACGCGCUUCGGUACCGAGGAAGGAUCGAAGCUUUGGUGCAGUUCGGUGGUCGUUCCCGCGCGAGCCAGGAAGAGCGGGAGAGAAGGGACAAAGUCUAAUUAUAACAAGUCUGUUCACGCGCAGAAGAUGCGUGGCAGAGAGGUGACGUCACACUGCCUCGGUGGGUCCGAUGACAGAAAACGGAGUAAUUGAUGGGCGACUGGUAUGCAGAGUGACGUCACACAGCCUCGGUGGGUCCGAUAACAAAACGGAGUAAUUGAUGGGUGACGUUUUUUUUUUUUUUUUU